UACGGGGGGAGCAAGCGUUGUUCGGAUUUACUGGGCGUAAAGGGCGCGUAGGCGGCGUGACAAGUCACUUGUGAAAUCUCCGGGCUUAACUCGGAACGGUCAGGUGAUACUGUCGUGCUAGAGUACAGAAGGGGCAACUGGAAUUCUCGGUGUAGCGGUGAAAUGCGUAGAUAUCGAGAGGAACACCUGCGGCGAAGGCGGGUUGCUGGGCUGAUACUGACGCUGAGGCGCGAAAGCCAGGGGAGCGAACGGG
rnacentral:rRNA from 1 species